rnacentral:miRNA from 1 species
UUCUGGUCGAUGGGGUUGUUACACCUCAUUGAUUGGAAGGAAUCCCUUCCAGUCAAUGAGGCUGUUACACCUCAUUGAUUGGAAGGAAUCCCUUCCAGUCAAUGAGGCUGUUACACCUCAUUGACCAGAA